rnacentral:SRP_RNA from 1 species
CAGCAAGGUCGAACACCUACCGAGGCAUACCGUAUGGAAAGCCGAUGCGUGUAAGGAGUGUUGAUAGCAAGGUCUCGUACAAUUCUGUGUUGUGAACCGUGUCAGGGCUUGACCGCAGCAGCACUAAGCAAAUUUCAGAAUGUGUUACGAGGAAACUUUGAAGGAGCCACCUGCACGUAAGCCGAUUCGGUGCAGUAUGUCGGAGUAGGCGCAUCC